UAGCUGGCUGGCGAAGAAAAUU
rnacentral:miRNA from 1 species